UCUUAAGUGAGUCAACUCCUCUUCCUUUGGUCAUUUUGGAACUACGAUGAGGUAAUGCUCACCAGACUUUGAAGGGGGGGAGGCAAAGCCAAGAGGGUAGAAAGGAAGUGAUAAAAUGGAAAGACAUUUGCCAUGCUCUC